UUGUAGAUAGUGCAUAUGACCAAGCAUG
rnacentral:piRNA from 1 species